rnacentral:tRNA from 1 species
GCUGAGGUGGUGGAAUUGGUAUACAC